UACGUAGGGUACAAGCGUUGCCCGGAUUUACUGGGCGUAAAGAGCGCGCAGGCGGUCGUUCAAGUCGCGUGUGAAAGCCCCCGGCUCAACUGGGGAGGGUCACGCGAUACUGAUCGACUCGAAGGCAGGAGAGGGUAGUGGAAUUCCCGGUGUAGUGGUGAAAUGCGCAGAUAUCAGGAGGAACACCGGUGGCGAAGGCGGUUCUCUGGGCAUGACCUGACGCUGAGGAGCGAAAGUGUGGGGAGCGAACAGG
rnacentral:rRNA from 1 species